rnacentral:rRNA from 1 species
GACAGAGGCCCCGAGCGUUAGUCGGAAUUACUGGGCUUAAAGGGUGCGUAGGCGGACCAGCAAGUGCUUUGUGAAAGCCCCCGGCUCAACCGGGGAACAGCGGGGCAUACUGCUGGUCUUGAGGAAGGUAGGGGUUGCCAGAACUGUAGGUGGAGCGGUGAAAUGCGUAGAUAUCGAGAGGAACACCUGCGGCGAAGGCGGGUUGCUGGGCUGACACUGACGCUGAGGCGCGAAAGCUAGGGGAGCGAACGGG